UGUGACCUCAAAUCAGGUAGGACUACCCGCUGAACUUAAGCAUAUCAAUAAGCGGAGGAAAAGAAACUAACAAGGAUUCCCCUAGUAACUGCGAGUGAAGCGGGAAAAGCUCAAAUUUAAAAUCUGGCGGUCUUUUGGCUGUCCGAGUUGUAAUCUAGAGAAGUGUUAUCCGCGCUG
rnacentral:rRNA from 1 species